rnacentral:sRNA from 1 species
CAGGGAUGAAGGAGCUACUUGAGGGUCUGGACUACAGCGUAGAUGUAGAAGAGAAUCUGACAGCCAGGGAUAUGGAGUCAGCGCUGAGGGCAUUUGCUGCCCGACCAGAGCACAAGUCCUCCGACAGCACGUUCUUAGUACUCAUGUCUCAUGGCAUCCUGGAGGGAAUCUGCGGAACUGCGCAUGAUGAGAAAAAACCAGAUGUGCUGCUUUAUGACACCAUCUUCCAGAUAUUCAACAACCGCAACUGCCUCAGUCUAAAGGACAAACCCAAGGUCAUCAUUGUCCAGGCCUGCAGAGGUGGUGAGUGCUAAGACUGAACAUCUAACAGUUAUGAAGGUGUAUGAGGAGGAUUGUGAUGUUUGGUUUAUAUUUAGGGUCAACAGUCUUAGACCCCAUCCAGUGCAAAUAAAGUACAUUGAAUUCUAAAGAAACUCUACCUAAGGGUCUGGUAUAACAAGAAAUUGUCUCAUCAUAAUUAGUGGAGAAAUUUCUGUACAAUUUUAUCCACAGUAAGUGGUGAAGGAGAUCAUCAGAAUCCCUAAAUCAAAGUUAAACAGAAAUACUCAAACUUUGGAAUAGAAUCAUUUUCAUGAUAGCUUGAUUUGUAAAUGUUUUACAGACAUUUUGACAUUGUGUGGUUUGAGAAGAAUUUCAUUUGAAACUGGGGCCAUUAUGUAAAACAGCAUCCCUUUUUCUUAUAAUUAUUGAGGGGGAAAUUAGUAAAGAGAUCAGGGGACUUUAGAAUGUUGCAGUUCCACUUUGCUCCAGAGAUUCAAUUGCCUCAUGGCUGGCUGAGGAUGGUGGCUCAUGCCUAUAAUCCCAACACUUUGGGAGGCCAAGACAGGAGGAUGGCUUGAGGCCAGGAAUUUGAGACCAAUUGUCUCAUAGCUCUUGGGAUCUAUUUUUCAAAACAAAACAGAUUUUUUUUUUUCUAGAAAAUAGUAAAUUCAAGAUGAUUUCACUAUCAGUAGGCACACUGUUGAAUGACACUGGAGAGAAAGAAAAGUGGUGUGUGUGUGUGUGUCUGUGCGUGUGUUUGUGUGUGUGUGUGUUUCUGUGUGUGUGUUUGUAUGUGUGUGGGUCUGUAUGUAUGAAACUAGUAAGAAUGAACAUUCAAAAAGAACAAGGUGGGCAACUGUGAUAGCCAUUCUGUGGGAGGCACAGCAGUGUGCAGAAAGUUAAUGUCUCCACAGCAAACCGUGGGGAACUGUGGGUCAGAGACUCUCCAGCAUCCUUGGAAGUGGCCUCUUCACAGUCACCUGAGAACCUGGAGGAAGAUGCUGUUUACAAGACCCACGUGGAGAAGGACUUCAUUGCUUUUUGCUCUUCAACACCACGUAUGUAUCUUUCAGUGGCAGUAAGGGAUUUGUGGGCCUGAGGCUACCUUUGAAUGAAUCUAGAAAAUCAAGAAUCCCUAUGAAACAAUGAUCUGAUAGAAUGUCGUAUUUUACAUGAUCUUAUGUGUGCUGUGAGAACAGAUUCCUAAAGCAACCCAAUACAUGGAAACCCAUUCACCACUCACCAUUUAAACAGAUGAUGAAUUCUGUUUUUUUAUUAAGCUCAUUUAACAUUUUACAUAGUGUUUUUAUGGAUUCCAGGAAUGGCUUCUUUUUCUCAAAUGAUCAACUUCAAGUUUUCUUCUCCAUAUUUCCCAUCUGAUUCUACAAUGAGCAGUGCCAUUGCAUGCCCUGCUAGAACUGUGGAUACCCUUUAAAACAAGUAGGAAAUGAUAGGAUGGGACUGAUUAGGUCUAAUCUCAGGGAACACUGGUUAAUAUUUCAUGUCUAGGCAAUCAUCUUAAGGAGCAUACAUUUAACUGUUUUUGAUUUGUAUAUUUUUAAAUCUUAUUUUUUAAAACCACUUUAUUGAGGUAUGAUUGACAUACAUAAUGGUACAUAUUUAAUGUGUACAACUUAAUGAGUUUGGAGAUAUGUAUGUACUCCUGAAAUCAUCACCACUAUCUAUGCCAUAAACAUAUCUCUCUUCUCCAAAAGAUUCUUACACUUCUCUGUUUAUUAUUACCAUCAUUCCGUGAUUGUGUGUGAGAAGUAUACUUAGCAUAAAAUCUACUCUAUUAACAAAUUUCAAGUACAUAAUACAAUGUUGGUUACUACUGGCACCAUCCUGUACAGUAGAUUUUUAUCACUUUUUUCAUCUUCUAUCACUGAAACUUGUCAUGUGUUCAUCAAUUUUUAUUUAUUAUAUGGUGAAAGACAGUGUGGCAUAAUCUGCAAACAACUUUGGAGCCUGGUGGCAAUUUUUUGUUGCUUACUCACUGUGUGAACAUGGGGAAGUUCCUUCAUCUUUCUGUGCUUCUAUUUCUUCCUCUGUAAAGUGGGAUAAUUCCAGUUAUUUCUCAAGCCCCUAUAAAAGCUGAGAGAAUGAACAUGAGUUUUGUAGUGGAAAGUCAAUCCCAAGAAUCAAAAUUUAUUCAACAUACAAUCUCUUGAAAUGCUUACAAACUGCAAUUUUUGAUCACCUUUUGCUAGGUUUUCUGUUUACUUUCUGUGGAAAGUGGGUAAAUGUCAGGUUGUAAGUGCUUCCUACAAAUCUGUAAAUAUAAUUCCCAAGCUAUGCUUUUCUUUUUAAAAACAUUCUCAAAACAUAAAUAUGAACAAAAACAUAGUGAAAGUCAUAGCCCAAGGCAUACCCACCUGUAUCAUUAUAGACAACGUGUCCUGGAGAGACAGCACAAUGGGCUCUAUCUUCAUCACACAACUCAUCACAUGCUUCCAGAAAUAUUCUUGGUGCUGCCACCUAGAGGAAGUAUUUCGGAAGGUACAGCAAUCAUUUGAAACUCCAAGGGCUAAAGCCCAAAUGCCCACCAUAGAACGACUGUCAAUGACAAGAUAUUUCUACCUCUUUCCUGGCAAUUGAAAAUGGUUAAGUAUUGAGAGUUGUUGGUGGUGUGUGAAAUAAAUGAGAGAGUGAUAUUGGUGGUUAAGUCCAAUGACAAAUGACAGCUGAGUAUUUGGAUGGUCAAACUGGUGUUUUUGUUGAUAUAGUCUGGUGAUUAUCUGCUACUUUUUUCCGACUUAUAUGCAUUUGGAUUCCUCCAACUCUACAAUUAAUCAGGCAAUCAAUCAAUCAAGGAGGUAAGGAAAAUCGCAGCAGAAUGUGAUAAUGAAAAACCAAAGAUAGCAAUUAUUGAAAUAGAAACAUAUUCAUGCUUCCAUUACUAUUUAUAUUCAUUUACCUCUCAUAGUCUGUCUUUCUCUUUUAUUCCGCUUUCUUACACACACACACACAGAGAGAGAGAGACAGAGAGACACACACACUAAGUAGCCAAACAUUGCAUCAAACCCUAAACAAAACAGAGUAAACAAAGGAGCUAACUCUGGAUGAAGCAGCAUUUUGAUCCUCUGAGUGAGGAUGUCACAGCAAAUACCACAUUAUUGACAUCCAGGUACCAUUACCAGAUGGUACAGAAUACAUCCUACACUGUGGAGUUUGUGUUGAUCCAGGCUCUGGUUCUCAGACUGUUCUCACAAUGCAGAUCACCAAUCACUCAGAGUUGGCUUUUGAAUCCUCAAUCACAGUCCAGAAGUUCCUUCAAGCUCCCAUGUAACUUUUCUUAUUACUUUGACCAAAAUGUUAUAGAAUGGGUACACUGAGUCUGGACUAAAUGAUUACUUUCUUCACUCAUAAUAUCUUUAUUUAACACUAGAUUAUAAGACUAUUAUCAAUCUCCCUCUAAAAUACAUACUUAAAAUUAUAUUUUAUAGUGAAAUGUAUAAAGUUGUUCUCAAUACUUCCAACAUUUACCACAUAAUUUUUACUCUUGGUUUCUGACACUUCAGUCACAAUAUUGCAUCAUUUCAGCAUAACAGCUUUCAGUGCCUAAUCCAUACGAUGGGGCUACAUUUGGACAUUGAAUUGUUUGUUGACUAAUAUUUGCCAACACUAACUAUGCACCAGGUUUUGUUCUAGAUGCUUGGAAUAUGCCAAUUAACAACGUAAAUAGAUUUCUUACACUCAGAAAGCUUAUAUUCUAGUGAGUAGAAACAGACUCUGAAGACAUAAAGUGGUAAAUAUAUCACAGGCCAGAGAGCAAAAAAAGAUAAAAAGAAAAAUAAAGGAAGACAAAGGAAAACACAGAAUGAUGGAUGCUGUACUCUUAUAGAUAUUUCACUCAAAAGCUUUUCUUGAAAUAAUGAAAUCAGAACAAAGAAUGGACAGAGUUGAGGAGUGAAUAACGUGGUUCUUAUGCAGGAAAAGUGUCCCAGCACAGAAUACAGCCAGUGCAAAUGCCCUGCAGUAGAAAUGCACUUAACAUGUUUAAAGAACUGCAAUGAGACAGUGUGACCAAAAGAGAAUGUGAGUGGAGAAACUGGAGACAAAUUAGGAGAAGCAGUGAGAAGCCAAAUAGCGUGAUUCUAUGUUAUCACAUGGUAAACCUUUAAAAAUUAUUAUCUGAGCGAGACAGGAAGCCUUUCUAGUGCUUUAGAAAAAAGAAGUAAUAUGCUUUAAAUUAGGUUUUACAAAGAUCACAUUUUGGUGAAUAGACUAAGAUGUCACAGAUGGAAGUCAAGGGAAGUGGCAAGAGCACAUGGAAGAGGAUGCAAGAAGAAUCAUGAUGAGGGAUGGGAUGAAGGCAGCAAGGGGUGACCAUCUUGACAUUCUGUUUUUUCUCUCCCCUGCAGGAAGCCACAAGCAGCCCAGCCUUCCUUUAUCAACUUCAAGGAGCACCUUCAUUAGUACAGCUUGCAUAUUUAACAUUUUGUAUUUCAAUAAAAGUGAAGACAAA